UAUACUUCUUGGGUUACCCCCAUCACACUUAAACUGUACAAAAGGCAGAAUUCUGUAAGGUGAACUUAAGUGAAAUUACCAUUUAUUUGCAUAUAAUCUCAUUGCUUUGUAAUUACUAUGAAUUAUUUUAAAUCUUCUGUAAUAAAACAUAAACUUUUCUCUCCCUAUCAUAUUUUCAACCAUACCAAAAAAAGGGAGUUUUACUAAAUGAAGUUAAUAAUGUGCUGUGUAUGUUUUACAUCUCUCUUACUAGACAAUUCCCAGAUGGCAGGGCAACUAUUGUUAGCUUUGUGCACAAAUAUAGCACAGUGUUAACAUAAAGAGUAUUUAUUCAAUAUAAUUUUUUGUUCAAAUGAAUCCUUAUGCUAGCACUUAUAAUCAGUGAAAAUUGUGAAAUGAAAUUAGGCUGGC
rnacentral:lncRNA from 1 species